GCUGAACGCUGGCGGCGUGCUUAACACAUGCAAGUCGAACGGGAAUUAUUUUAUUGAAACUUCGGUCGAUUUAAUUUAAUUCUAGUGGCGGACGGGUGAGUAACGCGUGGGUAACCUGCCUUAUACAGGGGGAUAACAGUCAGAAAUGGCUGCUAAUACCGCAUAAGCGCACAGAGCUGCAUGGCUCAGUGUGAAAAACUCCGGUGGUAUAAGAUGGACCCGCGUUGGAUUAGCUUGUUGGCAGGGUAACGGCCUACCAAGGCGACGAUCCAUAGCCGGCCUGAGAGGGUGAACGGCCACAUUGGGACUGAGACACGGCCCAGACUCCUACGGGAGGCAGCAGUGGGGAAUAUUGCACAAUGGGGGAAACCCUGAUGCAGCGACGCCGCGUGAAGGAAGAAGUAUCUCGGUAUGUAAACUUCUAUCAGCAGGGAAGAUAGUGACGGUACCUGACGAAGAAGCCCCGGCUAACUACGUG
rnacentral:rRNA from 1 species